UAAGCAUAUCCAAUAUUUAUAUAUAGAAUUCGUAACAGAUGUCUGGGCUUCCAUUCCAAUAGCCUAUAUUUUACACUGUUUAUUUACAUGGUUACACCAAACAAGACUCAAUUCAAGGUAACCCAAUCCUUUGCUACUAUACCAAAAUAAGCAACAUUUUCAGUCCAUGCCUUAUUUAUAUUCACCAAGCAUGACACUGGGCUUCCAACUGCUCAUCGGAGCAAGCUGCAGCCUGGACACAAGCUAGAGAUUAAUCAGUCAGGAAUGAUCCUGCGUCCAGUGCCAGCACGAUGGGAGAGACCGAGAAACAGAAGACAUCAGGGCUCCAGAGUGAAGGAGCCCACAGGAAACAUAUUUUGAAAAACACUGGCCUAGAGGCAGAAGUGAAAUGGAAAACACCAAAGUAAAACUGAAGAGGAGUCGCUGGGCAGGGAAUGGUCGGAGGCACCCUGAAUCCUGGACCGAUGGAGAUCCCCAGCUCUGCAUGGUCCCCUCCCUGGGCCCAGACCGCCUCCCCCCAUUCCCGGAUAAGAAGGCUAAUGCGCACCAGGUGAAGGGCUUGCCUGGGCCACACCCCCGGGCUCGCCCCACACCAGUUGUGCUCCUGUGAGAACCAGUGACUUUCUUGAUUUGGCUACUGCGGAAUUGUUUGCAACUAACCACCCCAGAUACAAAUGACAAAUGAUCAGAUAUAAAGGACCCACGGGUCCCUGUGAUACGGCUUCAUGCAGCCAGCACGGCUAGUGCCCUGCAGAACAAGAAUGACCCCAGGCAAGUCCUCGCCUCCCAGACCCAGAAUCCCAUGGAGCCCACCAGGGCUGGUUCACAAGCACUGUCUGGGUCGGGCAGAGAUUCCAGCAAGAGGAGGGAACAUCCGUGCACCAGAGCCAGUUACCAGAAGUAAAUCACCUGUUCCAAAACCCAGGCUGUUAAUGGAGUCCAUUGUUGACCGGAGCUGGGGUCUAGCUACGGAAUACUGCCCAGCAGAGAUCCUCCUGACAGAAAGCACUUUUUCCCAAAAGCCAUGGAUCCUCCA